rnacentral:rRNA from 1 species
UUGGAGGGCAAGUCUGGUGCCAGCAGCCGCGGUAAUUCCAGCUCCAAUAGCGUAUAUUAAAGUUGUUGCAGUUAAAAAGCUCGUAGUUGAAUUUCGGGAUCAAUAUUUCGGUCAUGCCGUUGGUAUGCACUGUUAUCAUUGAUUUCUCACCUUCUAAAGAACCGUAAUGCCAUUAAUUUGGUGUUACGGGGAAUUAGGACUGUUACCUUGAAAAAAUUAGAGUGUUUAAAGCAGGCUCACGCUUGAAUACAUUAGCAUGGAAUAAUGAAAUAGGACAUCCGAUUCUAUUUUGUUGGUUUCUAGGAUCGAUGUAAUGAUUAAUAGGGAUAGUUGGGGGCAUUAGUAUUCAAUUGUCAGAGGUGAAAUUCUUGGAUUUAUUGAAGACUAACUACUGCGAAAGCAUUUGCCAAGGAUGUUUUCAUUAAUCAAGAACGAAAGUUAGGGGAUCGAAGACGAUCAGAUACCGUCGUAGUCUUAACCAUAAACUAUGCCGACUAGGGAUCGGAUGAUGUUAAUUUUUUAAUGACUCAUUCGGCACCUUACGGGAAACCAAAG